rnacentral:rRNA from 1 species
UACAGGGGGUGCAAACGUUGCUCGGAAUUAUUGGGCGUAAAGCGCACGUAGGCGGCUUGGCAAGUCGGAUGUGAAAUCCCUCGGCUCAACCAAGGAAGUGCAUCCGAAACUGCCGAGCUUGAGUACUUAAGAGGAUCGCGGAAUUCCCGGUGUAGAGGUGAAAUUCGUAGAUAUCGGGAGGAACAUCAGUGGCGAAGGCGGCGAUCUGGGAAGUUACUGACGCUGAGGUGCGAAAGCGUGGGGAGCGAACAGG